AUGAACGCUGGCGGCGUGCUUAACACAUGCAAGUCGAACGGAGCCUAGCGAGUGCUUGCACUUGCGAAAGCUUAGUGGCGGACGGGUGAGUAACGCGGUGGGUAACCUGCCCUAUACUGGGGGAUAACAGUUGGAAACGACUGCUAAUACCGCAUAAGCCUACGGUGCCGCAUGACACAGUAAGGAAAAACUCCGGUGGUAUAGGAUCGGACCCGCGUCUGAUUAGCUAGUUGGUGAGGUAACGGCCCACCAAGGCGACGAUCAGUAGCCGGCCUGAGAGGGUGAACGGCCACAUUGGGACUGAGACACGGACCCAAACUCCGUACGGGAGGCAGCAGGUGGGGAAUAUUGCACAAUGGGGGAAACCCUGAUGCAGCGAACCGCCGCGUGAGCGAAGAAGUAUUUCGGUAUGUAAAGCUCUAUCAGCAGGGAAGAUAAUGACGGUACCUGACUAAGAAGCACCGGCUAAAUACGUGCCAGCAGCAGC
rnacentral:rRNA from 1 species